rnacentral:rRNA from 1 species
AUUGAACGCUGGCGGAAUCCUUUACACAUGCAAGUCGAGCGGCAGCGCGGGGGCAACCUGGCGGCGAGCGGCGAACGGGUGAGUAAUACAUCGGAACGUGCCCAGACGUGGGGGAUAACUACUCGAAAGAGUGGCUAAUACCGCAUACGAUCUACGGAUGAAAGCGGGGAUCGCAAGACCUCGCGCGUCUGGAGCGGCUGAUGGCAGAUUAGGUAGUUGGUGGGAUAAAAGCCUACCAAGCCAACGAUCUGUAGCUGGUCUGAGAGGAUGAUCAGCCACACUGGGACUGAGACACGGCCCAGACUCCUACGGGAGGCAGCAGUGGGAAUUUUGGACAAUGGGCGAAAGCCUGAUCAGCCAUUCCGCGUGCAGGAUGAAGGCCCUCGGGUUGUAAACUGCUUUGUAC